GACGAACGCUGGCGGCGUGCUUAACACAUGCAAGUCGAACGGAAAGGCCCUGCUUUUGUGGGGUUCUCGAUUGGCGAACGGGUGAGUAACACGUGAGUAACCUGCCCUUGACUUUGGGAUAACUUCAGGAAACUGGGGCUAAUACCGGAUAUGAGCUCCUGCUGCAUGGUGGGGGUUGGAAAGUUUCGGCGGUUGGGGAUGGACUCGCGGCUUAUCAGCUUGUUGGUGGGGUAGUGGCUUACCAAGGCUUUGACGGAUAGCCGGCCUGAGAGGGUGACCGGGCACAUGGGGACUGAGAUAGGGCCCAGAAGCCUACGGGAGGCAGCAGUGGGGAAUAUGGCACAAUGGGCGGAAGCCUGAUGCAGAAACGCCGCGUGCGGGAUGACGGCCUUCGGGGUGUAAACCGCUUUCGCCUGUGACGAAGCGUGAGUGACGGUAAUGGGUAAAGAAGCACCGGCUAACUACGUG
rnacentral:rRNA from 1 species